CUUGACGGUCUCCUCACACGCGCGCCCCUCCUCCGUCGCCCCACGCUCGGCGCCGCCGCUCUCGCCCUGGGUCCGCGCUCCUCCGGCCCGCGCGCCCCUCCUUCUCCGGUCCAGCCCGCGCUCCUCUCUCUGAGCGCUCCGCCAGCUCGGCGCUGCCGACCCGCGCGCCCCUCCUCCGCCAGCUCGGGGCCGCCGACCCGCGCCCCUCCUUCGUCGCCCCGCACUCGGCGACGCCGCUCUCGCCCCGCGCUCACCCUGGCCUGCGCUCCUCCAGUCCCUGCGCCGCCAAGCCGUGCGCCCCUCCUUCCUCGUCGCCACCGCUUCGCCGCUGCUUCAUCGCCGCAACGGCAUGACAGGAGCAGAAAGCGGCAACGGUAGACGAUGCUCGUGCACGCGCGCCUGCGUAGGCGUCAGCGCGCUGCCCCAAGGAGCACCUCCCGCGGAGGCGACAUCCAGGCCCAAAGGCAGCGGCCGGGGUACUUCCCCAAGAAACAGAGCUGACAUAUCCGCGGCACUGGCGACGGCGGCGUUCGCUAGUCUCAGUUAGGUGGAUUCUCGUGGAGAAUCCCAGUGUGCGUUACUUCCAUUUUUUGGAUAGCAGCUUGGAAGGGCGCCGGCAGCACAUGUGGAUGGUCCACGCCAUUGGCCGCCGGCAACAAGCCCAAGCAAGGUGGGCAACUCGACACACUCCAGCUUUACCUAAAGGAACUGCAAGAACGACUGGCUUGCGAGCAAUGAAAAGCCAUCACACAACCACAUUUCCUGCAUUGCUUGCAAGGUGUUUGGUAAAAUCUGUAUACUCUAAUUCGUCACGGCCAGUGCAUCGUUACGGUUUGGAGCUUUGUAACUUUUCUAAAGGUUGCAUAAUUCCUUUUAUUUUAGUACUCUAAAAUCAAUCUAUUCCUCAUAUUUGUUUGCCAAACCUAAAUAUGCUGCCAUCAUAAUAGGUGUGCAGUACGGGCAUGUACUUGUCCAUAUGAAGGUGAUAUUACCUCUUAUUUGUCAGCUCUGUUGUGGUGUCAGAAAGCAACGAUUCAACAUACUAAGUGAUGUGUUUUUUAUUCUGAAAUUUCAGUCUUACUCUUACAUGCAAGUAGCUCUACACAUUUUGUUGAUCACUGAAGAAUCAUUCUACACAUUUCGUUACAGCAAUCUGUAGCUGCAGAUGAAGACAAGCGAUAAUGCUUGUGUGCUGACGCAGGUAUUCCUACUUAUAUGCUUCUCCAUUGCAUCUAAUAUUUGAAUGGCAUGCUUUAUGGCAAUAUAACAGUUUGACCAUUGUUCUGCAUUAAGAGAUCCUAUUUAAAUUUUUAGAUUACCAGUUCUAUCGAUUGGUUAUAUCAUCUAAGUCGCACGGGUACUAUACUUGAGAUACCAAUCUGAGACUAUAAUUCUUAUUUCUUUCCCAAUUAUAGACAGCCCUGGCCCUGGAGGGGGGCGAGAGGGGCGGCCGCCCCGGGCCCCCAAUUUCAAGGGGCCCCACCGGAGUACAUACUCCUAUUAGACUUAGUAGUGCAAUUAGAAUUCCAAUGGAUAGUUUUCGUAUCUGAGACUAUAAUUCUUAUUUCUUUCCCAAUUAUAGACAGCCCUGGCCCUGGAGGGGGGCGAGAGGGGCGGCCGCCCCGGGCCCCCAAUUUCAAGGGGCCCCACCGGAGUACAUACUCCUAUUAGACUUAGUAGUGCAAUUAGAAUUCCAAUGGACAGUUUUCGUUUUGCUCCGCACUCAUGCACCGCUGAAGCCCACAAAUCGCGAUUGCGGCGGCGGCGUCAGACCUUCGGCUUCCGCUUCCGCAGUUCCUUGCGCCGUGCCGCAACUCUCGCUGCCGGCCGCGCGCCGACGACCAACGCGCAGGCAAGACGGGCCAACGGCGCUCAGCGCCCGACGGAGACUAGCCUGGACGGCUGGACCAGGAGUGCAGGACGCAUCGCACAUGUGCUGAUGCACACAACAUGCAAGCAGCAAGCCGGCAAGUCAUAUUCAUCUAUUCAUGUUAGUUUAGUUUAAUUCCAUAACCGUCUCUCCUAUAAAUCAACCGGUUAUUUGAUCAAUCUUGGUUUUUUUUAAUUUACCACAUAGCGCAUUCAUGACUAACUUAUUUUAUUUUCUCUUUAAUUUCAGCAUAAAGUACUAUCAUGUCAUCUGGAAAAUAUUAAGCUAAGAGAGUGUUGCACUAUCUUUGCAAGCACUUUCUCUUCUGAUGGUUCAUCUGAUGUUGAUUUAAAUGAUCUGAUUUCAGAGUUACAUUUUCUUCAGCUGACUUUAACAGAUAAACCAAUAACUGCUAUGGAGAUUUUUGAGUAUGUUAGAGAAGUGGACUGCUGUCCUAAUGUUUCAAUUGCUUAUCAGAUUUUAUUUACUAAGCCUGUCGCUGUAGCAUCAGCUGAAAGAACAUUUUCAAAAGGAAUUAUAUGAGGUCCACAAUGUCUCAAGAAAGGUUAAAUGGUUUGGCAAUUUUAUGUAUCGAGAAGAAAUUAUUGGAUGAAAUCGAUAUCGAUACUAUCAUUAUCGACUUCGUAUCUAAAAAUAUUAGAAGAAACUUUUGAGGCUGCACUUUCCUUUUGGUGGACAAAUUGGAGAUAUAAUCUUCAGAGAUGAAAAGUAGAUCAAGGCAUCAAGACCAUGAAGAAAGGAAAAAUAAGAAAAGGAAAAAAAAUUGAGGGGGGGGGGGGAAGGUAUAUGAAAGGAUUACAGUUUGUCAUUUGCAUUUUUUAAAAGCAUUCUAUCCUUGUUCUGGAAGGCACGUAGUUCAUUUUUGCUGAAUAGAACAGCUACAGUAUUUGCCAUAUGCAUGCUUCAUAGAACCAGGUUUCACAAUAACAAAUGAAGUUCUUAUCAGUUCUUGUAAAGUUAUAUGUGAAUCUACUAAUUACAAUGUCAAUCCUGAAAGAGAGAUGUUCAGAGUCAUGCGGUGCUUACCCUACAGGAGGCUCUGGAAGCAUACUUGGUGGCUCUAUUCAAGGAAACAAAACUGUGCGUCAUCCACACCAACUGCCCAAGGGCAUUCAGCUGUCUAGGUGGAUCAACGUGAGAGGGCUUAGGUUCUCUGCUAUCCUAUCCUAGGAUAUUAAGGAUCCAAAUGAUGCUAUGAAAUUAAACUGUGUAAACGAUGUACUCUCUUGGUUCAAAUCUGUAUUCUCUGGACUGUUUCAACUUACACGUCCAUGGAUUCAGUAAUAUGGCAUGAUUUGCUCUUGUACCGUACCCAAAACAAAUCCACUUUGUCAAUACCCUUUCAGAAGUUAUAGAUUUUCCUUUUCAUUGCCUAGGAUUGUUUUUUGUAACAAAUUAUCUGCUCUUGUAUACCCAUAUAAAAUGUACCAGUUCCAAGAAUACCCAUAUAAAAUGUGUUGAUCCAUGUAUUGUUCUUGGUCAGAAAAAAUAGUGUGUUCUGUGAAGCGGAAGAACACUUGUACUGAAAUAAUACUAUGGCACUUUAGCUAUCAUAGGGCCAAGGUAUAUAUUUUUUGUUGUUGUACGAUACAAUAUAAGUGCUAUGAUGCAAUAACAUUAAUUCAAAUUUAGUUUGAAAUCUGCAUUUAUUAAUGGUUAUUAUGGUUGGCAUCAUAUUCAUGAUUUCUGAUUGACCAAAUAAAUUAAUGGUUGGAUAUUCGCUCAUACUGUCCACGUCUUUUAUGUCCUUAUAGUCCAGGUAGGGGCAUUGAUGAAUAUUGAUGGAAAAAAGAACUGGUUGAGUAUGGUGACUAUUGUAACACAUCUCCAAUGAUAAGCAUGCGAACCAGCACCAUGCAGUCCAGCCGGCAUCAUCACUGCUUUCUACCACAACUGGUGCAACAACUCCAUCAUCGAUGUAGGUGUCAUCUUCUUCGUCGUCAUCCUCAUCAAGACUCCAUCAUCUGGUUCGGGAACAGCUUCACCACGCACCUGAUUAGUAACGGAGGCAUCACCAGUUGUCCCUUGCUUGUCUGCUCUUGUCCAAUUUGACAAAUCCUCAUUUGAGCCUAAUAAGUUAAUGUCCUGGAUUCCCACAUCAAUUAGAUCGACUUCCAUGUCUCCCUCAUUUUCUGCUUCUGGCAUGGCAAACAAAUUUCUUGGUCACACUGCAACAACACUGGACCAUCCCUACUUGUUCAUAAGGUUGACAAAAAACACCGGUUCUGCCUAUAUUGCUAGAAUGUAAGGUUCAUUUGAAUAUCAAAACCUAGAAGCAUCAAUAUCGACAACACCAUAUUUAUCCCUACUGUAGCCUCUAUUUCUGCUAGUCCUGGCAGCCGGCACAUCAUACCAAUCACAUUGGAACAAUAGAACUUCUUUUUGUGUAGGGAAUUCGAGUGAGAUAAUUCUUCUAAUCACUCCAUACCAAAUCAUGUUGCUAGUAGUACCAUCACCCCUCACAAGUACACCACUGUUUUGAGUGACAAGAUUUCUCUCAAUGGAAGUCGUUCAAAAUGGCGUGUUAUUUAUGUAGCAUCUGUUGAACACACGAGCUCUAUGGUCCGGUCCCAGAGAAAGGGCAUACAUCAGUUCACUUGCCUCCCCUUUCUCAUAUAGCUUGGAGAUCUGCAAACUCAGUUUGAAAACAUAUGUCUCUAUUAAUAUGUAAAUUGAUCUAACCACACAAGGAAUAAAAAAUAGAACUAACCUUGCCCUCAAACCACCUUACAAAGUGCUCCUCGUGUCGUUUAUUAAGAUUCCUUAGACUAAUUUUUUUAAGUUCUUCCAUAUGCUCCCUACAUCAAAAUAACCAAUUAAUUAGUUGAUCCAAAAAUGGAUAGUAUAGUACAAUAAUUAAUGAUGGUAAAUUGCAACUUACUCGACCCAUGGUCUAGCUUCAUCGCAAUUACUAAUUAUGUAGUGCCUCAUCUUCUGUACCUCAUCUCCACCAAAUAUCUUGAUAGUCUGUCCUCUCCUCUUGUAAUCCAUUUCACCAAAUAUGCUCAGGCCAGAUGGCGGCUCAUUCACAGCUAUACUUUCAUGACGAUCAGCACGAUUCAGCUUGGUAUCGACAUCCAAGAAUCUGGAGCAAAAUGUAAGGCACUCCUCGACUAUGUAUCCCUUAGCUAUUGAACCUUCUGGGUGCGCCUUGUUCCGCACAUAUCCUUUAACAGUACGUAGAUACCUCUCCACUAGAUACAUCCAUCUAUAACACAUGCUUCCAUGCCUUCGAGUCAGCAGGGUGAUGCAUUUUCCCAUCAUUGACCAAUUCUUCCUUAUGCCAUCGCAUUUGUGAUGAUGUGCUCUCUGUCAUAUAUAAUCUUUGCAGGCGAGGAGUAAGAGGAAAAUACCAUAGUAUUUUUCGUGGGAUAUGCUUUAUAUUUGUUGUAACAGCACCACCAUCCGCAUCACCCAUGUGAGCACCAUUGUCGGGUAUUUUCCACCUAGACUCGCCACAUUUGGAACAUGUAUCCAGAUUUGCAUUUUCCUUCCAAAAUAACACGCAAUUCUUCUCACGGGCAUCUAUCUUUACAUAGUCCAAGCCUAGAUCUCGAACGACCCUUUGCACUUUCUCCAUUGUGUCUGGAACACAAUGGCCUUUAGGGAGAACCAUUGAGAACAGAUUAAGUACCCCCUCCAAUGCUCUGUUACUAAUGCUGUACAUGCACUUAAGCUGAAAAAGUUGCACAAUAAAUGAGACCUUAGUAGCAUCUGAGAAACCAGGAUACAAUUCCUUUUCUGCCUCUUGUAACAAUUUGAAGAAGAUCUUCGCAUGUUCAUUCGGCUGUUCAUUAGUAUCUCGGAUCUCUCCAUGUAUAGCACCUCUGAUUAGGGAUCUAACCAAAUUAGUGGCACCAUAGCCAUCACUCUGUGCAUCUUCUUCAUUGUCUACUGCGGUUUCAGGUGGUGUGGCUUCAUUGUAUACAUGUACAUCUGCUGCUACUGGUAUGUCAUUGUGAACUUCAACAUCAGCUGGUUGCACGAUUUCAUUGUGUAAUCCUACAUCUGAACCUUCCCCUUCCUGAAUAAAGCUUUCAUCAAACCUUCUAUUAAGCAAA